UACGUAGGGUGCGAGCGUUGUCCGGAAUUAUUGGGCGUAAAGAGCUCGUAGGCGGUCUGUCGCGUCGGAUGCGAAAGCCCGGGGCUUAACUCCGGGUCUGCAUUCGAUACGGGCAGACUAGAGUGUGGUAGGGGAGAUCGGAAUUCCUGGUGUAGCGGUGAAAUGCGCAGAUAUCAGGAGGAACACCGGUGGCGAAGGCGGAUCUCUGGGCCAUUACUGACGCUGAGGAGCGAAAGCGUGGGGAGCGAACAGG
rnacentral:rRNA from 1 species